GACAGAGGUGCCGAGCGUUAGGCGGAAUCACUGGGCUUAAAGCGUGUGUAGGCUGGGCGGGCAAGUACCUUGUGAAAGUCCCACGGGCUCAACCGUGGAACGGCUGGGUAUACUGCCUGUCGUUGAGCCAAGCUAGGGGCGGAGCGGAACAGACGGUGGAGCGGAUGAAAUGCGUAGAUAUCGUCUGGAACGCCAAAGGUGAAAACAGCUCGCUCGGGGUUGUGCUGACGCUGAGACACGAAAGCCAGGGGAGGCGAAACGGG
rnacentral:rRNA from 1 species